rnacentral:lncRNA from 1 species
AUAGAAGCUUUUCCUUAAGAUUUACUCUGUCCUAGCUAUAAUUUUUUGAACUCAGUCUCAUAAAUUACAUAGGACUUCUCUUUAUCUACUAAGAUCGAUAGAUCCCUUUUAAGUGCACACCCUACUCCUACAACGAACUUACUAUAGCUAACAUAUACUGCAAGGAUUCGAGUGGCUAGGAGAUCAAGUAUUUGUGCAGUCAAACUACAGUAACCCCAUUAUGAAUAGCCGAAGCACCGU